GAAAUGCGAUAAGUAAUGUGAAUUGCAGAAGUCCGUGAAUCAUCGAAUCUUUGAACGCACAUUGCGCCCUCUGGUAUUCCGGGGGGCAUGCCUGUCCGAGCGUCAUUGCGAACCCCUCAAGCACGACUUGUGUGAUGGGCCCUCCCGCGUCUUGGUCGUCAAGACGGGCCCGAAAUGCAGUGGCGGCUUCGCGGUUAUCCGAUCAGCCAGAGCGUAUGGGGACUUUCUCUCUGUCACACGCCCGCGGCGCGGACCGACGCCUGUCGACCUUUAUUCAUCUUUUUCUCGGUUGACCUCGGAUCAGGAAGGGAUACCCGCUGAACUUAAGC
rnacentral:misc_RNA from 1 species